AAAGGAACAGCCGUCUCUCCCGUGGCUCCCUCUGCUCCCGGACAAGAAGGCAAAGAGGAGCAAAGGGAGCGAGAGAAGCAGAAUCGUCCGUGUGUGGUGACAGCCCCGGCUGAUCCUUGCAAGAGAGUGACGAAAGGAACAGCCGUCUCUCCCGUGGCUCCCUCUGCUCCCGGACAAGAAGGCAAAGAGGAGCAAAGGGAGCGAGAGAAGCAGAAGCCUCUGUGUGUGGUGACAGCCCCGGCUGAUCCUUGCAAGAGAGUGACGAAAGGAACAGCCGUCUCUCCCGUGGCUCCCUCUGCUCCCGGACAAGAAGGCAAAGAGGAGCAAAGGGAGCGAGAGAAGCAGAAGCCUCCGUGUGUGGUGACAGCCCCGGCUGAUCCUUGCAA